AAGGAAUAUUGGUCAAUGGUGGGAACACUGAACCAGCCAUCCCGCGUGCAGGACGAAGGCCCUCUGGGUUGUAAACUGCUUUUAACAGGGAAGAAACGCCUGGACUUGUCCGGGCCUGACGGUACCUGUGGAAUAAGCACCGGCUAACUCCGUGCCAGCAGCCGCGGUAAUACGGAGGGUGCGAGCGUUAUCCGGAAUCACUGGGUUUAAAGGGUGCGUAGGCGGCCUGGUAAGUCAGGGGUGAAAGCUUCCCGCUCAACGGGAGAACUGCCCUUGAUACUGCCGGGCUCGAAUUGGGUUGAGGCUGGCGGAAUGUGGCAUGUAGCGGUGAAAUGCUUAGAUAUGCCAUAGAACACCGAUUGCGAAGGCAGCCAGCCAAGCCUUGAUUGACGCUGAGGCACGAAAGCGUGGGGAGCGAAC
rnacentral:rRNA from 1 species